GUACUGCUCACUCAAGCAGCACAUGUACUAACACUGGAACAAUACAGAGGAGAUUAGCAUGGUCGCUGCUCAAGGAUGAAAUAGAAAUUCACAAAGCACUCCAUAAGAAA
ensembl:snRNA U6 U6 spliceosomal RNA